rnacentral:lncRNA from 1 species
AGCACUCACACUACAUCUAAAAAUGCAACGGCUUCUGGCAAAUGUCUUGCAAGAUGUCCAAUGUCGGAUUUCGCCGUUUUUUUACAAAUAAAUUGUCAUUUGCGACGUUAUUUAUUAAAAAUUCAGAGUAGUUGCAUGCUAAAUAGUCCUUUUCCGUAAUUGUGCUUUAACUUUACAAAACAGCAACAUACUUUUUGAUAACUUGCGUAGUCAAAACGACUUCGUUUUCAAAGAAAUGAAAUGUCUUGCAAGUUUGUCCACUGGACGAUUUUCGUACGUUUUCAACGUUGUCGAUUCGGGGUACGCUAUUUAUGGUGGAUCAUCUGUAUAUAGUUCCUCAGAUAGAAUUUUCUUGAUAGUCAAAUACUAU